GCACAGAACACUGGUUUAGGGAUGCACCUCACCAUGGCGCCGUCCCAUCAGACACCAUGACUUUGGUCUACUGCGCUACAGCAAUGACCACAGAAAAAAUGGCUGACAGUUUAAGACUCUCUAAUGCUCUGGCACAGAGGCCAGCCAGGAGACAGCAUGGAGGGUGCAAAGAUAAAGCUGUGGGUUUAUUGGAGGGCUCUCGGGGGAACGACGGAGGAAGUUCAGGAAUUUAACGUCAGUCUGAGGGAGGCUCUCACCAUCAAGUAGGGCGAGUUGCCAUGGAGAUUGCCUGCCUGCCCCGCCCCUGGGAGGGGCCGAUUGGACGGGACCUGAUGAGACACGAGUCAACAACUGUCAAUCAAACACAGAAACUG